rnacentral:misc_RNA from 1 species
GCAAACUUGGUCAUUUAGAGGAAGUAAAAGUCGUAACAAGGUUUCCGUAGGUGAACCUGCGGAAGGAUCAUUAACGAGACGCGAUCGUCGCGAGACGAGAUCGGUUUCUCCCGUCCUCAUGUCAAAGUCAAGUGUUGUUUUCGGCGGAGGCGUUUGCCCGCGUGGUCGGGCGGACCGCCGUCGGUUUUUCUGAAUCUAGGAACUGUGAAGUCUAUUGAUAAUUGAAUGAAAUAAGCAAAACUUUCAACAACGGAUCUCUUGGCUCUGGCAUCGAUGAAGAACGCAGC